UGUGAGCUCGAUGAGUAGGGCGGGACACGUGGUAUCCUGUCUGAAUAUGGGGGGACCAUCCUCCAAGGCUAAAUACUCCUGACUGACCGAUAGUGAACCAGUACCGUGAGGGAAAGGCGAAAAGAACCCCGGCGAGGGGAGUGAAAAAGAACCUGAAACCGUGUACGUACAAGCAGUGGGAGCACGCUUAGGCGUGUGACUGCGUACCUUUUGUAUAAUGGGUCAGCGACUUAUAUUCUGUAGCAAGGUUAACCGAAUAGGGGAGCCGAAGGGAAACCGAGUCUUAACUGGGCGUUAAGUUGCAGGGUAUAGACCCGAAACCCGGUGAUCUAGCCAUGGGCAGGUUGAAGGUUGGGUAACACUAACUGGAGGACCGAACCGACUAAUGUUGAAAAAUUAGCGGAUGACUUGUGGCUGGGGGUGAAAGGCCAAUCAAACCGGGAGAUAGCUGGUUCUCCCCGAAAGCUAUUUAGGUAGCGCCUCGUGAAUUCAUCUCCGGGGGUAGAGCACUGUUUCGGCAAGGGGGUCAUCCCGACUUACCAACCCGAUGCAAACUGCGAAUACCGGAGAAUGUUAUCACGGGAGACACACGGCGGGUGCUAACGUCCGUCGUGAAGAGGGAAACAACCCAGACCGCCAGCUAAGGUCCCAAAGUCAUGGUUAAGUGGGAAACGAUGUGGGAAGGCCCAGACAGCCAGGAUGUUGGCUUAGAAGCAGCCAUCAUUUAAAGAAAGCGUAAUAGCUCACUGGUCGAGUCGGCCUGCGCGGAAGAUGUAACGGGGCUAAACCAUGCACCGAAGCUGCGGCAGCGACGCUUAUGCGUUGUUGGGUAGGGGAGCGUUCUGUAAGCCUGUGAAGGUGUGCUGUGAGGCAUGCUGGAGGUAUCAGAAGUGCGAAUGCUGACAUAAGUAACGAUAAAGCGGGUGAAAAGCCCGCUCGCCGGAAGACCAAGGGUUCCUGUCCAACGUUAAUCGGGGCAGGGUGAGUCGACCCCUAAGGCGAGGCCGAAAGGCGUAGUCGAUGGGAAACAGGUUAAUAUUCCUGUACUUGGUGUUACUGCGAAGGGGGGACGGAGAAGGCUAUGUUGGCCGGGCGACGGUUGUCCCGGUUUAAGCGUGUAGGCUGGUUUUCCAGGCAAAUCCGGAAAAUCAAGGCUGAGGCGUGAUGACGAGGCACUACGGUGCUGAAGCAACAAAUGCCCUGCUUCCAGGAAAAGCCUCUAAGCAUCAGGUAACAUCAAAUCGUACCCCAAACCGACACAGGUGGUCAGGUAGAGAAUACCAAGGCGCUUGAGAGAACUCGGGUGAAGGAACUAGGCAAAAUGGUGCCGUAACUUCGGGAGAAGGCACGCUGAUAUGUAGGUGAAGUCCCUUGCGGAUGGAGCUGAAAUCAGUCGAAGAUACCAGCUGGCUGCAACUGUUUAUUAAAAACACAGCACUGUGCAAACACGAAAGUGGACGUAUACGGUGUGACGCCUGCCCGGUGCCGGAAGGUUAAUUGAUGGGGUCAGCGCAAGCGAAGCUCUUGAUCGAAGCCCCGGUAAACGGCGGCCGUAACUAUAACGGUCCUAAGGUAGCGAAAUUCCUUGUCGGGUAAGUUCCGACCUGCACGAAUGGCGUAAUGAUGGCCAGGCUGUCUCCACCCGAGACUCAGUGAAAUUGAACUCGCUGUGAAGAUGCAGUGUACCCGCGGCAAGACGGAAAGACCCCGUGAACCUUUACUAUAGCUUGACACUGAACAUUGAGCCUUGAUGUGUAGGAUAGGUGGGAGGCUUUGAAGUGUGGACGCCAGUCUGCAUGGAGCCGACCUUGAAAUACCACCCUUUAAUGUUUGAUGUUCUAACGUUGACCCCUAAUCGGGGUUGCGGACAGUGUCUGGUGGGUAGUUUGACUGGGGCGGUCUCCUCCUAAAGAGUAACGGAGGAGCACGAAGGUUGGCUAAUCCUGGUCGGACAUCAGGAGGUUAGUGCAAUGGCAUAAGCCAGCUUGACUGCGAGCGUGACGGCGCGAGCAGGUGCGAAAGCAGGUCAUAGUGAUCCGGUGGUUCUGAAUGGAAGGGCCAUCGCUCAACGGAUAAAAGGUACUCCGGGGAUAACAGGCUGAUACCGCCCAAGAGUUCAUAUCGACGGCGGUGUUUGGCACCUCGAUGUCGGCUCAUCACAUCCUGGGGCUGAAGUAGGUCCCAAGGGUAUGGCUGUUCGCCAUUUAAAGUGGUACGCGAGCUGGGUUUAGAACGUCGUGAGACAGUUCGGUCCCUAUCUGCCGUGGGCGCUGGAGAACUGAGGGGGGCUGCUCCUAGUACGAGAGGACCGGAGUGGACGCAUCACUGGUGUUCGGGUUGUCAUGCCAAUGGCACUGCCCGGUAGCUAAAUGCGGAAGAGAUAAGUGCUGAAAGCAUCUAAGCACGAAACUUGCCCCGAGAUGAGUUCUCCCUGACCCUUUAAGGGUCCUGAAGGAACGUUGAAGACGACGACGUUGAUAGGCCGGGUGUGUAAGCGCAGCGAUGCGUUGAGCUAACCGGUACUAAUGAACCGUGAGGCUUAACCUU
rnacentral:rRNA from 1 species